ACCUCCCACCCGUGUUUAUUGUACCUUGUUGCUUCGGCGGGCCCGCCGUUUUCGAACGGCCGCCGGGGAGGCCUUGCGCCCCCGGGCCCGCGCCCGCCGAAGACCCCAACAUGAACUCUGUUCUGAAAGUAUGCAGUCUGAGUUUGAUUACCAUAAUCAAUUAAAACUUUCAACAACGGAUCUCUUGGUUCCGGCAUCGAUGAAGAACGCAGCGAAAUGCGAUAAGUAAUGUGAAUUGCAGAAUUCAGUGAAUCAUCGAGUCUUUGAACGCACAUUGCGCCCCCUGGUAUUCCGGGGGGCAUGCCUGUCCGAGCGUCAUUGCUGCCCUCAAGCACGGCUUGUGUGUUGGGCCCCCGUCCCCGGUUCUCCCCGGGGACGGGCCCGAAAGGCAGCGGCGGCACCGCGUCCGAUCCUCGAGCGUAUGGGGCUUUGUCACCCGCUCUGUAGGCCCGGCCGGCGCCAGCCGACACCCCAACUUUAUUUUCUAAGGUUGACCUCGGAUCAGGUAGGGAUACCCGCUGAACUUAAGCAUAUCAAU
rnacentral:rRNA from 1 species